AUUUCUCUGAGAUGUUUGCAAGCGGGCCAGUCCCCUGAGCCGAUAUUUCAUACCACAAGAAUGUGGUGCUCCGCGGUUGGUGAGCAUGCUCGGUUCGUCCGAGAAGCCUUAAAACUGUGACGACACAUUCACCUUGAACCAAGGGUUCAAGGGUUACAGCCUGCGGCGGCAUCUCGGAGAUUCC
rnacentral:other from 1 species